rnacentral:piRNA from 1 species
UCAGAAUUGGAAUCGACAACG